GGGGAGGUUAAAUAUUUAUAAAGGAGUUAUAUUGAAUUCUUUAUUUUAAAAAAUAAAUAAUAAAAAAUGAAUGAAUGAAGUCAAUUAGUAAAAUUUUAUAUAAAUUUAUGAUUAUUCUAUAACAUGUUUGUUAUUUAUUUAAGAAUUAUUUGUAAAUUAUCCGAGCCUGUUCAUGCUUUAAUUGAUCCCGGAUCUUCACAUUCCUAUAUUAAUUCAAAAUCAGUUGAGUUCGGG
rnacentral:lncRNA from 1 species